rnacentral:rRNA from 1 species
AAACAGCUCAGGACGAACGCUGGCGGCGUGCCUAAUACAUGCAAGUCGAACGAACUCUGGUAUUGAUUGGUGCUUGCAUCAUGAUUUACAUUUGAGUGAGUGGCGAACUGGUGAGUAACACGUGGGAAACCUGCCCAGAAGCGGGGGAUAACACCUGGAAACAGAUGCUAAUACCGCAUAACAACUUGGACCGCAUGGUCCGAGUUUGAAAGAUGGCUUCGGCUAUCACUUUUGGAUGGUCCCGCGGCGUAUUAGCUAGAUGGUGAGGUAACGGCUCACCAUGGCAAUGAUACGUAGCCGACCUGAGAGGGUAAUCGGCCACAUUGGGACUGAGACACGGCCCAAACUCCUACGGGAGGCAGCAGUAGGGAAUCUUCCACAAUGGACGAAAGUCUGAUGGAGCAACGCCGCGUGAGUGAAGAAGGGUUUCGGCUCGUAAAACUCUGUUGUUAAAGAAGAACAUAUCUGAGAGUAACUGUUCAGGUAUUGACGGUAUUUAACCAGAAAGCCACGGCUAACUACGUGCCAGCAGCCGCGGUAAUACGUAGGUGGCAAGCGUUGUCCGGAUUUAUUGGGCGUAAAGCGAGCGCAGGCGGUUUUUUAAGUCUGAUGUGAAAGCCUUCGGCUCAACCGAAGAAGUGCAUCGGAAACUGGGAAACUUGAGUGCAGAAGAGGACAGUGGAACUCCAUGUGUAGCGGUGAAAUGCGUAGAUAUAUGGAAGAACACCAGUGGCGAAGGCGGCUGUCUGGUCUGUAACUGACGCUGAGG